UAAUAAUAAAUAUAUUUUUUUCUAUUAAAAAAAUUUUUUUUAUAAUUUUUUAUACAUAUUUUUAUAAAAACUGAAAAGGAAUUAAUAAUUUUUUAAAAGAAAAGUAAUGUUCCUUUAGUAUCAGGAUUUAUCAAUUAUCUUAAAAAUCUUUCCAUCCCGAAAUUAUAUGAUCUAUUAAUCUUUAUAAUAUUUAUUUCAAUAAAUUAUUAAAACUAUUAAUAGAAAUUAAACAUCUUCGUAUAUAUUAUAUCUGGUUUAAGAAAAAGAAAACAACUUCAAAUAAAAUUUAAUAAAACAACUUAUUAAAUAAAUUUAAAAAAACUUAAAAUAAAAUAAAAACUUAUAGUAUUUAAAAAGUAUAGUAACUAAUAAAUAACAAAAUUUAUAAAUUUUCAUAUUCUUAAAACCCUUAUAUAAAAAUAUAAUGAUAAAAUAAGUAAACUAAUUAUAUUUUUAUUAAAAACUCAUCUAGUAUUGAGUGACUGUUUAACAAAAACAUUUUUAUUAGAGAUAAUUAAUAAUAAAGUCUGCUCAAUGAAAUUUAAAUAGCCGCUUUUGUGCUAAGGUAGCAUAAUAAUUUGUCUUUUAAUUAAAGACUAGAACAAAAGACUUUACAUCUCAAUUAAUUUUUUAUAAAAAAUUAUUUAAAUUAUUUUAGUUGUAAAAAAACAACUUUAAAAAAGAAAGACGAUAAGACCCUAUCGAACUUCACUUUAGUUUAACUGGGGUAGUUAAUUAAUUAAUAUUUUAAUAUAAUUACAAAUAAAAUUUGACCUAAUAGAAUUAAAUCAUAAUUAAGUUACCGUAGGGAUAACAGCGUAAUAAAAUUUUUAAGAUCUUAUUUAAAAUAAAGAUUGCGACCUCGAUGUUGAUUUAAUAUCCUAAUUUACGCAAUAGUUAAUUAAGGAAGUCUGUUCGACUUUUAAAAAAUUACAUGAUUUGAGUUCAGACCGGUGUAAACCAGGUCGGUUUCUAUCUUCUAAAUAAAUUCUUCUAGUACGAAAGGACCUAAGAAAAUAAUAAUAUU
rnacentral:rRNA from 1 species